rnacentral:rRNA from 1 species
AUACGGAGGAUCCGAGCGUUAUCCGGAUUUAUUGGGUUUAAAGGGUGCGCACGCGGCCAUUUAAGUCAGCGGUUAAAUCGUGGGGCUCAACCCCAUUCUGCCGUUGAUACUGGGUGGCUUGAUUGCGGUCGAGGUUGGCGGAAUUCGUUGUGUAGCGGUGAAAUGCAUAGAUAUGACGAAGAACACCGAUUGCGUAGGCAGCUGACCAGACCGCAAAUGACGCUCAUGCACGAAAGUGCGGGGAUCGAACAGGAUUAGAUACCCUGGUAGUCCGCACAGUAAACGAUGAAUACUUGUUUUCGGCGAUAUAAUGUCGGAGGCAAAGCGAAAGCGAUAAGUAUUCCACCUGGGGAGUACGCCGGCAACGGUGAAACUCAAAUGAAUUGACGGGG